AGUACGCAUCCACAUACAUCCACUCAUUUCUAUAUCCAGAUUCACCCAAAAUUAUUCUACUCCUAUCUGGGAGAGAAUAGGUACAAACAUUAUCCUAUCUCUGUUAUUCCCCGUGAAAUAAAUGCUCGAGAUAUUUUGGUUACUACCACUUGCUACAUUAUUCCAGGAGGGUGAGUGCUCUGAAAAAAAAGUGAAUACGAGGAAAUAAAAAGGGGCAAGUGCCCGAAACCUCAAAAAAAGGAAAAAAAUUAAAAGAAAAAGUGAGACGAGAGGUAAAAAUGGACAAGUGUCCGAAAGUAGAAUUAGGGGUACAAGAUACCCACCUGAGAGAAAAGAAAAAUAAAAUAGAGAGCAUCUCAUUCCCCUCAAAAGCCUCAAGUGCAAGGUAUGUACCCCCUCAGAAGAGCAAAAGUAGAAUUAGACUUUCACCAUUAUCACCAUUCAUUCGCCACACAUGCACAUCUUGAUUUGACUUAUUGACUUGUUCUUCUGGAUCCAUGGUUUGACUAUGCAAUAAAUGUCUUGUAAGUAUGUAUUAGUUGUCUCCCACCUAUGAGCUCUAGAUAUCAAAACCUUAUUAGAGUAGGAUGAGAGAGAAGGCAAUGCCACUAUGCCUCAUACCGAAAAUACCACAAACUUUGAGAGAAGGCAUACACCAUUACUGCCUUGGUAAGGAUCCAGAAAUACCACAAAAGAGAGACUAGAGAGAGUCAUACAAGGAAUCUCUAUGUUUUAUUUGAAAAUCUGCAAAAACUCCAGAGCUAUAGUUAAUCGAAGAACAAGAGACUUGGCGCUUGACUAGACCGUUCUAUCUUUUAACUGCUCAAGACACAAGUGACGGUUGCAAGCCCCAUGGUGGAAGGAAAAAUGAGUAAGUUUAAAUCUUAACAGUUUACCCUAACCUAGAGAUGAGAUCUUGUUUGAAAGCAUGUGUACCUUUAAGGCAUGAAACAACUGCAGAAACUCUUGAGUCCAUCGUUGCUCAGGGACGAGCAAAAAAGGAUCCAACUGCAACUGACACCUAGACUUAGGGUUUCAUCUGACAGAAUUCCACGAGUUUUGGUGUUUAUCUAUUUCUACAGGGGGUUAUCAGGAAAUAUGGAGGAAAGGCCCACACGUCGGGUUUACAUAGAGAUAUUAACGUGUGCGCCAAUUUUCUAUCAUCUAGAAGACUCCACAAGCCACGGGAACGAACGGGAGGCCGAGCGGGCCCGGGGGCAGGGCGCCCGCCCUGGCUCAGCAGCCAAUCAGACCGAGUCCCGCAGAUUAUGCUCCACCACCUUUGAGGAUCAAGGAAAACCAUGCGAUUAAGGUCGGUUUGAUCCAAUAUCCCACAUUCGUUUGGAGGGGCUAUAUAAGCAGGCCCCCUGGCCCCUGGAGGAGAUAUCUCUUCUACAGAAUCAAAGGUAGGGUUUCAAUUAUUCAUCCAAGUAGAGAGGAUCCCUCUAGUUCAUCUAGUUCUAGUUCUAGUUCAUCUAGUUCUAGUUAGAUCUAGUUGUAAUCUAGAAAAAAUAGGGAGAGAGAAGAGGAGAGCGGAGGAGGAGCCGGAUCUGUCGGAUCUUCCUCAACAUUGUACUUUUACAACAACUGGUUCGUUCUUCAUCGUUCUCUAAGUUCUUCAAUUUAUAAUUCCUGAGUUGUUUAAUUACUUUUAUUUACAUUCAAGUUAUUUAUUGGAUUCCCGCUUGCAUCAAAUGCUCUAGUCUUUGCAACGCUAGAGUAGUAAUUAAUAGAUUAGAUAUGGUGUUUAGUCUUACAAUUACCUGGAAUUACACCCAAUCUUGCGGAUUGUUGUGGUAGCCCUAGGGUAGUGACAGCCCUAACGGUCGAUGUAUUCCACCUCGUUCGGAUCGGUGUUUGUAGGACCAUAGUCAGAGCUUCCUAGCCCCUUUCUCAUCUCUUUCUAUGGUUAGUGUUCUGAUGUCUCGAAAUAAAUAAUCUUUGAAGUAAUUUUUGAUUCUUAGAUCAACUAGAGAACUCUCAGGAAACUUCCUCUCUUCCCACCAAAAAUAAUUAUAUAGUUAUCCUUGGGCGACCUUGAAUCUUAAUUAGUACACUUACGUUCCCUGUGGAAAAUCAAUACUCUGGAAUACUCCCAGGUGAAAGCUAUAUCGGUAUCCGUGCGCUUGCGGAUUUUUCUGUUUGCAUUUAAAAUACCCAACAAUGGUCGGUGCAGUCCUCAUUUUUUAGAUAAAUCCAAAUAGACUUCGUAUCAUUAAUUAAUUUAUUAUUUAAGUUUCUCUUCAUAAAUUGAUGACAUGACAAGGCGUCCGGCCGUCUUGUCAGUGCGAUCCGAUGUGACAAAUGUUUUAAAUGCUACACUCAUGAUCUUAUUAUGCAUCAACUUUGUCUUGCUCACUAUGCUUAAGGUUAGAGAAGAACAAAUACACUUUUGGUUCUAUUGGUGUUUUCCACCAACAGGGCCCAUGCACUUGAUCUCUGCCUUGUCUCUAUGAGCAGGUACACUUCGAGCAAAAUAUGGAGGAGUUUUACAACUCCCAGACUCCACCAUGUGAAGAACCUGGAUCUACGAGCACAAACACACUGAGCAGGAUGCUGCCAACGCCGCACUUCGAAUUGCUGGGCAAACGAAGAACAUGGGUGACACCGUAUCAAGAGGUGCAGACAUCAAGGUCCACACCUGAAUCAAAUGACGCACCUAAAGAAUGAACAGGUGAUAAGUCUUGUUCAGAAGACUUAAAACAUUGAACCCUCGCCAAAAGGUAAAAUCGGUAGUUAUCCAUAUUUAUCCAUUCUGUAUUCCCUUUUCCCUUAAAUUAUUUACUUUCCUUAAAUAGCUUGUUAGUUAAUCAUGCUAUCUUGAAAAGAAAUUAAAAAUAUUAAAAACAGUAAGCCCCAUGUGAGUAUGCUCAUGGCAUAAAAUCCAUAAGUACAUUCACUGUGGUGGCGCAAAAAUAAAUUAAAUAUAUUCCUGUCCUGUAAAAAUAAAAAUAUAAAAAUAAAUUUAUGAUCCUACCAAAGAAAGUAAUAUUUAUUAGAGGAAGCUCAAUAUGAUAACGGCUAAGAGAUUUUAUGCUAACACUUAACCAGUUCCACAAAGCUUUGUUGUCUAUUUGAGCUCCACAGAAUUUCAAGGAUCAAAGAAGACUAGCAGACGGAGGACAUCCUAAUCACUGUCAGGGUGCUGCCGACAUUCAAAUACAACUCCGCCACCUGCUAGCUACAUCAAAAGAAAUUACGUCAAAAUCCAGCUUAGAGGAGAGCACCCCCAUUUAUCCAGCUAAGUGUUCUACUCACGUUUAUACUUUACUCAAAUAAUAAAAAGAUGCAUAAUCAUAAAAACCCAAAUAAAGAUUUUGUGCUUAUAUAUAUAUAUCUUUGCUUAGUUUGCUAAAUAAAUAAAUAAAUAAAGUUUGCUAUGAACCCUCAUGAUAAGCUCUCACAUGGAAAUGAUGAAUAGUUGCUCUGCCAUGACUAGUUCUCAAAAUUGAAAUCUCUCUCAAGUUUAGGUUAUUAAUUAAGAUUUGCUCUAAACCUGAACUUGUGGGAAGAGUACUUGAUCUAAAGUCUAAGUCGUUAACGGAUACGAUAUGGGAAUGUUGAGCUGCUAUUUAUCUGUUCCUAGAGAUGCUAGAAUUAUAGAGAAUUUUAUAUUUGAAAAUCUUUAAAAUGUUGCAUGAUGAGUUUUUGUAUGAUGAGAGUUUAAAAUCCUACCACAACCAUAUAUACAAGCUUAUUAGACUAUGAACCAUACAUUUACUUUUUACUGCUUAUGAGCAUUGAGUGUGCUCAAGCUGUGUAGACCCUUAGGAGCUUGUCAUGCGGUUUAAAUCAAGAUUCACUUGCACGUUCACUCAUACAUGCUGCUUCUACUCCAGAAGUACGCAUCCAUAUACAUCCACUCAUUUCCAUAUCCAGAUUCACCCAAAAUUAUUCUACUCCUAUCUUGGAGAGAACAGCCACAAACAUUAUCCUAUCUCUGUUAUUCCCCGUGAAAUAAAUGCUCGAGAUAUUUUGGUUACUACCACUUGCUACAUUAUUCUAGGAGGGUGAGUGCUCUGAAAAAAGUGAUUACGAGGAAAUAAAAAGGGGCAAGUGCCCGAAACCUCAAAAAAAAGGAAAAAAAGAAAAAGAAAAAGUGAGACGAGAGGUAAAAAUGGACAAGUAUCCGACAGUAGAAUGAGGGGUACAAGAUACCCACCUGAGAGAAAAGAAAAAUAAAAUAGAGAGCAUCUCAUUCCCCUCAAAAGCCUCAAGUGCAAGGAAGGUAUGUACCCCCUCAAAAGAGCAAAAGUAGAAUUAGACUUUUACCAUUAUUUUCACCAUUAUCACCAUUCAUUCGCCACACAUGCACAUCUUGAUUUGACUUAUUGACUUGUUCUUCUAGAUCCAUGGUUUGACUAUGCAAUAAAUGUCUUGUAAGUAUGUAUUAGCUGUCUCCCACCUAUGAGCUCUAGAUAUCAAAACCUUAUUAGAGUAGGGUGAGAGAGAAGCAAUGCCACUAUGCCUCAUACCGAAAAUACCACAAACUUUGAGAGAAGGCAUACACCAUUACUGCCUUGGUAAGGAUCCAGAAAUACCACAAAAGAGAGACUAGAGAGAGUCAUACAAGGAAUCUCUAAGUUUUAUUUGAAAAUCUACAAAAACUCCAGAGCUAUAGUUAAUCGAAGAACAAGAGACAUGGCGCUUAACUAGACCGUUCUAUCUUUUAACUGCUCAAGACACAAGUGACGGUUGCAAGCCCCAUGGUGGAAGGAAAAAUGAGUAAGUUUAAAUCUUAACAGUUUACCCUAACCCAGAGAUGAGAUCUUGUUUGAAUGCAUGUGUACCUUUAAGGCAUGAAACAACUGCAGAAACUCUUGAGUCCAUCAUUGCUCAGGGACGAGCAAAAAAGGAUCCAACUGCAACUGACACCUAGACUUAGGGUUUCAUCUGACAGAAUUCCACGAGUUUUGGUGUUUAUCUAUUUCUACAGGGGGUUAUCAGGAAAUAUGGAGGAAAGGCCCACACGUCGGGUUUACAUAGAGAUAUUAACGUGUGCGCCAAUUUUCUAUCAUCUAGAAGACUCCACAAGCCACGGGAACGAACGGGAGGCCGAGCGGGCCCGGGGGCAGGGCGCCCGCCCUGGCUCAGCAGCCAAUCAGACCGAGUCCCGCAGAUUAUGCUCCACCACCUUUGAGGAUCAAGGAAAACCAUGCGAUUAAGGUCGGUUUGAUCCGAUAUCCCACAUUCGUUUGGAGGGGCUAUAUAAGCAGGCCCCCUGGCCCCUGGAGGAGAUAUCUCUUCUACAGAAUCAAAGGUAGGGUUUCAAUUAUUCAUCCAAGUAGAGAGGAUCCCUCUAGUUCAUCUAGUUCUAGUUCCAGUUCAUCUAGUUCUAGUUAGAUCUAGUUGUAAUCUAGAAAAAAUAGGGAGAGAGAAGAGGAGAGCGGAGGAGGAGCCGGAUCUGUCGGAUCUUCCUCAACAUUGUACUUUUACAACAACUGGUUCGUUCUUCAUCGUUCUCUAAGUUCUUCAAUUUAUAAUUCCUGAGUUGUUUAAUUACUUUUAUUUACAUUCAAGUUAUUUAUUGGAUUCCCGCUUGCAUCAAAUGCUCUAGUCUUUGCAACGCUAGAGUAGUAAUUAAUAGAUUAGAUAUGGUGUUUAAUCUUACAAUUAC
rnacentral:lncRNA from 1 species